GGAGGGCGCGAGCGUUGUCCGGAAUCACUGGGCGUAAAGGGCGCGUAGGCGGCCUGAUAAGUAGGGGGUGAAAUCUUGCGGCUUAACCGCAAGGCUGCCUUCUAAACUGUCGGGCUCGAGCACAGUAGAGGCAGGUGGAAUUCCCGGUGUAGCGGUGGAAUGCGUAGAGAUCGGGAAGAACAUCAGUGGCGAAGGCGGCCUGCUGGGCUGUCGCUGACGCUGAGGCGCGACAGCGUGGGGAGCAAACAGGAUUAGAUACCCUGGUAGUCCACGCCGUAAACGAUGGGCACUAGGCGUCGGGGGGAGCGACCCUCCCGGUGCCGUCGCUAACGCAGUAAGUGCCCCGCCUGGGGAGUACGGCCGCAAGGCUG
rnacentral:rRNA from 1 species